GACGAACGCUGGCGGCGUGCUUAACACAUGCAAGUCGAACGGGCCUGUCUUCUUUUUUGGGGGGUGGGUUGAGUGGCGAACGGGUGAGUAUCACGUGAGUAACCUGCCCUUCGGUCCUGGAUAACCGCUUGAAAGGGCGGCUAAUACGGGGUGGUCCGGUUGGUCCGCAUGGGCUGGUCGGGAUAGAUUCACUGUUUUUGGUGUUUCGGCGGGGGAUGGGCUCGCGGCCUAUCAGCUUGUUGGUGGGGUGAUGGCCUACCAAGGCGGGGACGGGUAGCCGGCCUGAGGGGGUGGGCGGCCACACUGGGACUGGGAUACGGCCCAGACUCCUGCGGGAGGCAGCAGUGGGGGGUAUUGCACAAUGGGCGGAAGCCUGAUGCAGCGACGUCGCGUGAGGGAUGGAGGCCUUCGGGUUGUGAACCUCUGUUUCCGGUGGUGAAGGCCCUGUCCGUGUGGUGGGGUUGACGGUAGCCGGGGAUGAAGCGCCGGCUAACUACGUG
rnacentral:rRNA from 1 species